UACGAAGGGGGCGAGCGUUGUUCGGAUUUACUGGGCGUAAAGGGCGCGUAGGCGGCGCAACAAGUCACUUGUGAAAUCUCCGGGCUUAACCCGGAGCGGCCAAGUGAUACUGUCGUGCUAGAGUGCGGAAGGGGCUACUGGAAUUCUCGGUGUAGCGGUGAAAUGCGCAGAUAUCAGGAGGAACACCAAUUGCGAAGGCAGCUCGCUGGGACGUAACUGACGCUGAGACGCGAAAGCGUGGGGAGCAAACAGG
rnacentral:rRNA from 1 species